CCCUUAGGUGUCCGGGGCCGCACGCGCGCUACAAUGGAUGAAUCAACGCGUCAUCCUGGCCCGAAAGGGUUGGGGAACCGCUGAACCUCAUCCGUGGUUGGGAUUGGGGUUUGUAAUUAUUCCCCAUGAACUAGGAAUUCCCAGUAAGCGCGAGUCAUAAGCUCGCGUUGAUUACGUCCCUGCCCUUUGUACACACCGCCCGUCGCUACUACCGAUUGGAUGGUUUAGUGAGAUCCUCGGAUUGGUCACGGCACGGUGGCAACACUGCGUCGGUGUGCCGAGAAGACGAUCAAACUUGAUCAUCUAGAGGAAGUAAAAGUCGUAACA
rnacentral:rRNA from 1 species